rnacentral:rRNA from 1 species
GACGAACGCUGGCGGCGUGCUUAACACAUGCAAGUCGAACGGAAAGGCCCUGCUUUUGUGGGGUGCUCGAGUGGCGAACGGGUGAGUAACACGUGAGUAACCUGCCCUUGACUUUGGGAUAACUUCAGGAAACUGGGGCUAAUACCGGAUAGGAGCUCCUGCUGCAUGGUGGGGGUUGGAAAGUUUCGGCGGUUGGGGAUGGACUCGCGGCUUAUCAGCUUGUUGGUGGGGUAGUGGCUUACCAAGGCUUUGACGGGUAGCCGGCCUGAGAGGGUGACCGGCCACAUUGGGACGUAGAUACGGCCCAGACUCCUACGGGAGGCAGCAGUGGGGAAUAUUGCACAAUGGGCGGAAGCCUGAUGCAGCAACGCCGCGUGCGGGAUGACGGCCUUCGGGUUGUAAACCGCUUUCGCCUGUGACGAAGCGUGAGUGACGGUAAUGGGUAAAGAAGCACCGGCUAACUACGUG